rnacentral:lncRNA from 1 species
UUGGCGGGGCUUUUGUCUCUCGCUGCAGCCAGAGCUUGGGAUCCCUUUCUGCUGUUCAACGUCCUCCACCUCUGCCCCCCUCUCCCCCAAGCCGGUGACAGGCUGUUGCCCUGUGAUCUGCAGGUCCUGGGACGUGCACAGCUAAGAUGCCAGGACAUUCUAGAAGCUACUCAGGGGGCUGAGGCAGGAGAAUCGCUUGAACUCGGGAAGCAGACGUUGCAGUGAGCCAAGGUCGCACCACUGCACUCCAGCCCAGGCAACAGUGUGAGACUCCACAUCAAAAAGAAAAAGAAAAAAAGUGUACUAACAAGACCCAGCACACAGAGGAGACUUUUACCAUUAUAUGAACACCCAUCAAACAGUACACAUCAUCAUUGUGAGUUCUGAAUCUCACACAUAGAGGAAGUCAAAGGUGGAAAAAUUGACUCUCAUAGUUGGAUCCAGUCCACAGCUUCUGCUAGCAAGGAAGACUGAGACAUAUUGUGGGGCUCUACGCCAAUGUGACAUUACUGUUUUGCCUUGGCCUGUACCUGAAAAGGCAUUGUGACAUAUUGCUGGGCCCAGCAACAAGGUGACAUGAGUCUUCCGUAUGGACCCUGACA